CACGGAGUUAGCCGAUCCUUAUUCUCACAGUACCGUCAAGCUGAUUCACGAAUCAGUGUUUCUUCCUGUGCAAAAGCAGUUUACAAUCCAUAGGACCGUCAUCCUGCACGCGGCAUGGCUGGUUCAGGCUUGCGCCCAUUGACCAAUAUUCCUCACUGCUGCCUCCCGUAGGAGUCUGGUCCGUGUCUCAGUACCAGUGUGGGGGGUCUCCCUCUCAGGACCCCUACCCCAUCGUUGCCUUGGUAAGCCGUUACCUUACCAACUAGCUAAUGGGACGCAUGCUCAUCUUUUACCGUUGUGACUUUAAUAAUUAAAUGAUGCCAUUCAAUUAUACUAUGGGGUAUUAAUCCAAAUUUCUCUGGGCUAUCCCCCUGUAAAAGGUAGAUUGCAUACGCGUUACGCACCCGUGCGCCGGUCUCUAGCUCCGAAGAACUAUACCCCUCGACUUGCAUGUGUUAAGCCUGCCGCUAGCGUUCAUCCUGAGCCAGGAUCAAACUU
rnacentral:rRNA from 1 species